rnacentral:rRNA from 1 species
GACGAACGCUGGCGGCGUGCUUAACACAUGCAAGUCGAACGGAAAGGCCCUGCUUUUGUGGGGUGCUCGAGUGGCGAACGGGUGAGUAACACGUGAGUAACCUGCCCUUGACUUUGGGAUAACUUCAGGAAACUGGGGCUAAUACCGGAUAGGAGCUCCUGCUGCAUGGUGGGGGUUGGAAAGUUUCGGCGGUUGGGGAUGGACUCGCGGCUUAUCAGCUUGUUGGUGGGGUAGUGGCUUACCAAGGCUUUGACGGGUAGCCGGCCUGAGAGGGUGACCGGCCACAUUGGGACUGAGAUACGGCCCAGACUCCUACGGGAGGCAGCAGUGGGAAAUAUUGCACAAUGGGCGGAAGCCUGAUGCAGCAACGCCGCGUGCGGGAUGACGGCCUUCGGGUUGUAAACCGCUUUCGCCUGUGACGAAGCGUGAGUGACGGUAAUGGGUAAAGAAGCACCGGCUAACUACGU